rnacentral:rRNA from 1 species
AUGGCGGCGACACUGCAGUUCAUCAGCCUGCUCGGCACCUCCUCCGCCCAUCCAGCCCCUUCCUGCAGCAGCAGCAACGAGAAGCAGCACCGCUCUGUCCACCUGCCGCAGCAGCAGCAGGGGAGGAGGCUCCGCGCCGUCCGCGCCGUCGAGACGGGCGCCGAGCCUGCCACCGCCGACUCUGAGACGACGGUGGAGCCGCCGUCCGUCGACUUUGCGUUCGUCAGCCCUCGGUUGCUGCCGGACGGGACGCCGGACGUGCACUACCGGACGGCGUGCGGCGGGCAGAAGCUCAGGGACAUCAUGCUCCAAGGUUACAUCGACCUCUACGGGCCUUACGAUAAAUUGCUGCUCAACUGCUCGGGAGGCGGCGAGUGCGGGACUUGCAUCGUGGAGGUAGUUGAAGGCGGCGAAAUGCUUUCUCCGAAAAACGAAGUAGAAAAGGAAAAGCUCAAAAGGAAACCCAAGUCAUGGAGGCUGGCGUGCCAGGCCACGGUUGGCAACCCAGAUUCAACAGGACAGAUGGUCAUACAACAGCUACCAGAGUGGAAGGUACACAAGUGGGACAAGUGA